AUUGAACGCUGGCGGCAGGCCUAACACAUGCAAGUCGAACGAGGGGCGGACGGGUGAGUAACGUCUGGGAAACUGCCUGAUGGAGGGGGAUAACUAGGGGAAACGGGAGCUAAUACGGCAUACCAUCAGAUGUGCCCAGAUGGGAUUAGGUUGUUGGUGGGGUAACGGCUUACCAAGGCGAAGAUCCCUAGCUGGUCUGAGAGGAUGACCGGCCACACUGGAACUGAGACACGGUCCAGACUCCUACGUGAGGCAGCAGUGGGGAAUAUUGCACAAUGGGCGCAAGCCUGAUGCAGCCACGCCGCGUGUAUGAAGAAGGCCUUCGGGUUGUAAAGUACUUUCAGCAGGGAAGCGUUACCCACACAGGAAGCCCCGGCUAACUCCGUGCCAGCCGCCGCGGUAAUAC
rnacentral:rRNA from 1 species